rnacentral:rRNA from 1 species
GGACCAAGGAGUCUAGCAUGUGCGCGAGUCGUUGGGACUUGCGAAACCUAAAGGCGAAAUGAAAGUGAAGGCCCGCCCCGCGCGGGCCGAGGGAGGAUGGGCCGCGUCACGACGCGGCCCCGCACUCCCGGGGCGUCUCGUUCUCAUUGCGAGAAGAGGCGCACCCAGAGCGUACACGCUGGGACCCGAAAGAUGGUGAACUAUGCCUGGUCAGGACGAAGUCAGGGGAAACCCUGAUGGAGGUCCGUAGCGAUUCUGACGUGCAAAUCGAUCGUCGGAACUGGGUAUAGGGGCGAAAGACUAAUCGAACCAUCUAGUAGCUGGUUCCCUCCGAAGUUUCCCUCAGGAUAGCUGGCGCUCGCUUUUGCGAGUCUCAUCCGGUAAAGCGAAUGAUUAGAGGCAUUGGGGUCGAAACGGCCUCAACCUAUUCUCAAACUUUAAAUGGGUGAGAUCUCCGGCUUGCUCAAACUUGAAGCCGCGAGAUUAACUUAAUAUAAGGAUCAGAGUGCCAAGUGGGCCACUUUUGGUAAGCAGAACUGGCGCUGUGGGAUGAACCAAACGCAGAGUUA